rnacentral:rRNA from 1 species
UACGUAGGGUGCAAGCGUUGUCCGGAAUUAUUGGGCGUAAAGAGCUCGUAGGCGGCUUGUCGCGUCGGCUGUGAAAACCUGGGGCUCAACCCCGGGCCUGCAGCCGAUACGGGCAAGCUAGAAUUCGGUAGGGGAGACUGGAAUUCCUGGUGUAGCGGUGAAAUGCGCAGAUAUCGGGAGGAACACCAGUGGCGAAGGCGGUUACCUGGAGCUUUGCUGACGCUGAUGCGCGAAAGCGUGGGGAGCGAUCCGG